UGGGGAAUAUUGGGCAAUGGGCGCAAGCCUGACCCAGCAACGCCGCGUGAAGGAAGAAGGCUUUCGGGUUGUAAAACUUCUUUUCUCAGGGACGAAGCAAAGUGACGGUACCUGAGGAAUAAGCCACGGCUAACUACGUGCC
rnacentral:rRNA from 1 species